rnacentral:misc_RNA from 1 species
GAAAUGCGAUAAGUAAUGUGAAUUGCAGAAUUUAGUGAAUCAUCGAAUUUUUGAACGCAUAUUGCGCCCUCUGGCAUUCCGGGGGGCAUGCCUGUUCGAGCGUCAUUAAUAACCCUCAAGCAAAAAAAAAAAUUGCUUGGUAUUGGGCUUUUUUCAUCCUAAGGAUGGGCCUAAAAAUUAGUGGCGAUUGGCCUUUCUUCUGGUUUUUUAAGCGUAGUAAAUUAUUUUCUCGUCUUAAAAAAAAUUGUAAAAGAAAGUUAUCUGCCAAAAACUUUUUUUUUUUUUUAAAAAGUUGACCUCGGAUCAGGUAGGAAUACCCGCUGAACUUAA